CCUACGGGAGGCAGCAGUGAGGAAUAUUGGUCAAUGGGCGUAAGCCUGAACCAGCCAAGCCGCGUGAGGGAUGAAGGUUCUAUGGAUCGUAAACCUCUUUUAUAAGGGGAUAAAGUGUGGGACGUGUACUCUUUUGAAUGUACUUUACGAAUAAGGAUCGGCUAACUCCGUGCCAGCAGCCGCGGUAAUACGGAGGAUCCAAGCGUUAUCCGGAUUUAUUGGGUUUAAAGGGUGCGUAGGCGGCCUUUUAAGUCAGCGGUGAAAGUCUGUGGCUCAACCCUAGAAUUGCCUGUGAUACUGGGGGGCUUGAGUAUGUUUGAGGCAGGUAGAAUGCAAGGUGUAGCGGUGAAAUGCUUAGAGAUCACGCAGAACCCCGAUUGCGAAGGCAGCCUGCCAAGCCAUGACUGACGCUGAUGCACGAAAGCGUGGGGAUCAAACAGGAUUAGAUACCCGAGUAGUC
rnacentral:rRNA from 1 species